AUGCAGUCGACGAGACCUUCGGGUCUAGUGGCGCACGGGUGCGUAACGCGUGGGAAUCUGCCCUUGGGUUCGGAAUAACAGUUAGAAAUGACUGCUAAUACCGGAUGAUGACUUCGGUCCAAAGAUUUAUCGCCCAGGGAUGAGCCCGCGUCGGAUUAGCUUGUUGGUGAGGUAAAAGCUCACCAAGGCGACGAUCCGUAGCUGGUCUGAGAGGAUGAUCAGCCACACUGGGACUGAGACACGGCCCAGACUCCUACGGGAGGCAGCAGUGGGGAAUAUUGGACAAUGGGCGAAAGCCUGAUCCAGCAAUGCCGCGUGAGUGAUGAAGGCCUUAGGGUUGUAAAGCUCUUUUACCCGGGAUGAUAAUGACAGUACCGGGAGAAUAAGCCCCGGCUAACUCCGUGCCAGCAGCCGCGGUAAUACGGAGGGGGCUAGCGUUGUUCGGAAUUACUGGGCGUAAAGCGCACGUAGGCGGCUUUGUAAGUUAGAGGUGAAAGCCCGGAGCUCAACUCCGGAAUUGCCUUUAAGACUGCAUCGCUUGAAUCAUGGAGAGGUGAGUGGAAUUCCGAGUGUAGAGGUGAAAUUCGUAGAUAUUCGGAAGAACACCAGUGGCGAAGGCGACUCACUGGACAUGUAUUGACGCUGAGGUA
rnacentral:rRNA from 1 species